GCGGUAAUGAUGGAAUUGGUAGACAUGAAAGAUUCAAAAUCUUUUGGGCUGAAAGGCUCGUUUGGGUUCGAGUCCCUAUUUCCGCAC
rnacentral:tRNA from 1 species